GAUGAACGCUGGCGGCGUGCCUAAUACAUGCAAGUCGAGCGAACGGACGAGAAGCUUGCUUCUCUGAUGUUAGCGGCGGACGGGUGAGUAACACGUGGAUAACCUACCUAUAAGACUGGGAUAACUUCGGGAAACCGGAGCUAAUACCGGAUGAUAUUUUGAACCGCAUGGUUCAAAAGUGAAAGACGGUCUUGCUGUCACUUAUAGAUGGAUCCGCGCUGCAUUAGCUAGUUGGUAAGGUAACGGCUUACCAAGGCAACGAUGCAUAGCCGACCUGAGAGGGUGAUCGGCCACACUGGAACUGAGACACGGUCCAGACUCCGACGGGGGGCAGCAGUAGGGAAUCUUCCGCAAUGGGCGAAAGCCUGACGGAGCAACGCCGCGUGAGUGAUGAAGGCCUUCGGAUCGUAAAACUCUGUUAUUAGGGAAGAACAUAUGUGUAAGUAACUGUGCACAUCUUGACGGUACCUAAUCAGAAAGCCACGGCUAACUACGUG
rnacentral:rRNA from 1 species